CAAUAAGUGUUUAAUGGCACUUUUAAAAUCCAUUACCCACCUUGUGUGCACUGUAAGGAGGAGGGGUGUCACAACACCCCUCUUUCAUUAUACAUACCAAUCUUCUCUUGUUGUCUAACUUUUUGAGUAUAAAAAACUCGAAUA
rnacentral:misc_RNA from 1 species